rnacentral:rRNA from 1 species
ACCUGAUGCAGCGACGCCGCGUGAGGGAUGACGGCCUUCGGGUUGUAAACCUCUUUCAGUAGGGAAGAAGCGAAAGUGACGGUACCUGCAGAAGAAGCGCCGGCUAACUACGUGCCAGCAGCCGCAGUAAUACGUAGGGCGCAAGCGUUAUCCGGAAUUAUUGGGCGUAAAGAGCUCGUAGGCGGUUUGUCGCGUCUGCCGUGAAAGUCCGGGGCUCAACUCCGGAUCUGCGGUGGGUACGGGCAGACUAGAGUGAUGUAGGGGAGACUGGAAUUCCUGGUGUAGCGGUGAAAUGCGCAGAUAUCAGGAGGAACACCGAUGGCGAAGGCAGGUCUCUGGGCAUUAACUGACGCUGAGGAGCGAAAGCAUGGGGAGCGAACAGGAUUAGAUACCCUGGUAGUCCAUGCCGUAAACGUUGGGCACUAGGUGUGGGGGACAUUCCACGUUUUCCGCGCCGUAGCUAACGCAUUAAGUGCCCCGCCUGGGGAGUACGGCCGCAAGGCUA